ensembl:scaRNA small Cajal body-specific RNA 6
GGUCAGUGAUGUCAUGUAAAAGGUCUGAAGCUCAGCUCUUCCCCCUCGCGGCCACCAUUUUGGCUCCCAGCAGCCCGGCUCUCUGCUGCCAUCGUGCUCUAGUGGUGCGGCGAUGGUCUCGGCAGCUGCUGACACACAGGAUGUGACAUCACUGCGAGGUCUGUACAGAGCUCCUACAGCUUCUCUGUGAUGAUGUCAUCCAACAAAACCAAUCAGCAUGGAGCAUCAGGCCGAGGGGUGGGGUCUGAGCAGUGAUCUCACACCUGUUCUGAGGCC